CCUACGGGUGGCAGCAGUGGGGAAUAUUGCACAAUGGGGGAAACCCUGAUGCAGCGACGCCGCGUGAAGGAAGAAGUAUUUCUGUAUGUUAACUUCUAUCAGCAGGGAAGAAAAUGCCGGUACCUGCCUAAGAAGCCCCGGCUCACUACGUGCCAGAAGCCGCGGUAAUACGUAGGGGGCACGCGGUAUCCGGAUUUACUGGGUGUAAAGGGAGCGUAGGCGGUUUAGCAAGUCAGAAGUGAAAGCCCGGGGCUCAACUCCGGGACUGCUUUUGAAACUGUUGAACUAGAGUGCAGGAGAGGUAAGUGGAAUUCGUGGUGUAGCGGUGAAAUGCGUAGAUAGUAGGAGGAACACCAGGGGCGAAGGCGGCUUACUGGAGUGUAAAUGACGCUGAGGCUCGAAAGCGUGGGUAGCAAACAGGAUUAGAUACCCGAGUAGUC
rnacentral:rRNA from 1 species